rnacentral:tRNA from 1 species
AGGGGCGUAGCAUAACGGCAAUGCAGCAAGCUCUUAACUUGCCUCAUGAGGGUUCGACUCCCUUCGCCCCGCCCA